rnacentral:rRNA from 1 species
GCGUGAAUGAUGAAGGCCUUUGGGUCGUAAAAUUCUGUCAUGAAGGAAGAAACCUCGGUAGGCGAAUAGGUUACCGAACUGACGGUACUUCAGGAGGAAGCCCCGGCUAAUUACGUGCCAGCAGCCGCGGUAAUACGUAAGGGGCGAGCGUUGUCCGGAAUUAUUGGGCGUAAAGCGCGUGUAGGCUGUCAGGUCAGUUAGAUGUGAAAUCCCAUGGCUCAACCAUGGAACUGCAUUUAAUACUGCCUGACUAGAGUGCAGGAGAGGAGAGUGGAAUUCCUAGUGUAGCGGUGAAAUGCAU